rnacentral:rRNA from 1 species
CAGUAGCCGCGGUAAUACAGAGGAUGCAAGCGUUAUCCGGAAUGAUUGGGUGUAAAGGGCUCGCAGGCGGUUUCUUAAGUCUGAUGUGAAAGCCCCCGGCUCAACCGGGGAGGGUCAUUGGAAACUGGGAAACUUGAGUGCAGAAGAGGAGAGUGGAAUUCCACGUGUAGCGGUGAAAUGCGUAGAGAUGUGGAGGAACACCAGUGGCGAAGGCGACUCUCUGGUCUGUAACUGACGCUGAGGAGCGAAAGCGUGGGGUGCGAACAGGAUUAGAUACCCCGGUAGUCCCUGUCUCUUAUAC